GCCAUAGUAGCUCAAUUGGUAGAGCCUCGCACGUGAAAUGCGAAGGUUGUGGGUUCGGUUCCCACCUGCGGCA
rnacentral:tRNA from 1 species